UCUCACAAUUACUGCUUUGCCAAAAGAAAGUUGCCUCCAUGGGCACACUACCAUUUCUCCUCUUUUCUUUCCUUCUCUUCAUGAUGUUAUCUGAACCAGGAGUACACCAGUACUGGUUGAUCUUCAAGAGCUGGGCUGGAUCCCUGGACAGACCUCACUGCAGCAUUUGCUCCCAGCUUGUCUGUCCUUCAUAUGCAGCCUGUGUGCGCACAUGCGCACGCGUGUGUCAGGGGGAAGGUUGUGAAGGAGAGAAAGAGGAAGAACCGCCCGUCAUGCUGAUUUUACAGAUACAUGACUGAAUCAAGCUUAACAGACUGAAGAGCUGUUCCUUACUUGUGGUAGUUUGGAGAAGGAAAUAUUUGCAGGAAUGAAGUGAGUGGAAAAGUCAUAUAUAAUCCAUAUUUUACCAAGCUCUGUAUGACAAGUUUUAUGUUUUAGCUUAAAUAUUAAAUUAUGAAGAGAAUAAUGAAUAAAUAAUUCUCUUUUGCUCUGCAGAUAGCAGUCAGGAAAUCUAGUCAUUCUGGGCUUCUAGUCUUCGUUUUAAAAAGAGUUUUUAGAAGUAUCCAUUGGAAUUAUUUAGGAAUUUCUUUAGAAAUUAUUUUCUCUGAAAAAUAUAGUGAAACUUAGGAAUUUUGUACACCAACUUGAAUGAGGUUUUUUCUGUCUAAAACAACAAAGUGAUUUUUACUGAUUGGGGUGGCUCUUUUGAUGCUGUUUGUACGUGUAGCCUGUAUGGGCAAUAGAGAAUGAAGCGAGCAGCCAAUCAGAGGAAAAUAAAGCUUAUAUUUUAGAAGUUUG